rnacentral:ncRNA from 1 species
GCGGUACCGGUUCACGCCCGCGGCCACAGGCAGGCGGCAAGGCGACCCGGCGACC